CCCUUAGAUGUUCUGGGCUGCACGCGCGCUACACUGAAGCGUUCAACGAGUAUUCACCUUGCCCGGGAGGGUUGGGUAAUCUUUUGAAAACGCUUCGUGAUGGGGAUAGAUUAUUGCAAUUAUUAAUCUUCAACGAGGAAUUCCUAGUAAGCGCGAGUCAUCAGCUCGUGCUGAUUACGUCCCUGCCCUUUGUACACACCGCCCGUCGCUACUACCGAUUGAAUGGUUUAGUGAGAUGUUUGGACCGGAACUCUCUUGCUCAGCAAUGGGCGAGAGAGAGUCUGGGAAGUCCCUCUAACUGUAUCAUUUAGAGGAAGUAAAAGUCGUAACA
rnacentral:rRNA from 1 species